GUGUUACUGCGAAGGGGGGACGGAGAAGGCUAUGUUGGCCGGGCGACGGUUGUCCCGGUUUAAGCGUGUAGGUGUGUGUUCCAGGUAAAUCCGGUUCACUUUAACACUGAGGCGUGACGACGAGGCACUACGGUGCUGAAGCAACAAAUGCCCUGCUUCCAGGAAAAGCCUCUAAGCAUCAGGUAACACGAAAUCGUACCCCAAACCGACACAGGUGGUCAGGUAGAGAAUACCAAGGCGCUUGAGAGAACUCGGGUGAAGGAACUAGGCAAAAUGGUGCCGUAACUUCGGGAGAAGGCACGCUGACACGUAGGUGAAGUGAUUUACUCAUGGAGCUGAAGUCAGUCGAAGAUACCAGCUGGCUGCAACUGUUUAUUAAAAACACAGCACUGUGCAAACACGAAAGUGGACGUAUACGGUGUGACGCCUGCCCGGUGCCGGAAGGUUAAUUGAUGGGGUCAGCGUAAGCGAAGCUCCUGAUCGAAGCCCCGGUAAACGGCGGCCGUAACUAUAACGGUCCUAAGGUAGCGAAAUUCCUUGUCGGGUAAGUUCCGACCUGCACGAAUGGCGUAAUGAUGGCCAGGCUGUCUCCACCCGAGACUCAGUGAAAUUGAACUCGCUGUGAAGAUGCAGUGUACCCGCGGCAAGACGGAAAGACCCCGUGAACCUUUACUAUAGCUUGACACUGAACAUUGAGCCUUGAUGUGUAGGAUAGGUGGGAGGCUUUGAAGUGUGGACGCCAGUCUGCAUGGAGCCGACCUUGAAAUACCACCCUUUAAUGUUUGAUGUUCUAACGUGGACCCGUAAUCCGGGUUGCGGACAGUGUCUGGUGGGUAGUUUGACUGGGGCGGUCUCCUCCUAAAGAGUAACGGAGGAGCACGAAGGUUGGCUAAUCCUGGUCGGACAUCAGGAGGUUAGUGCAAUGGCAUAAGCCAGCUUGACUGCGAGCGUGACGGCGCGAGCAGGUGCGAAAGCAGGUCAUAGUGAUCCGGUGGUUCUGAAUGGAAGGGCCAUCGCUCAACGGAUAAAAGGUACUCCGGGGAUAACAGGCUGAUACCGCCCAAGAGUUCAUAUCGACGGCGGUGUUUGGCACCUCGAUGUCGGCUCAUCACAUCCUGGGGCUGAAGUAGGUCCCAAGGGUAUGGCUGUUCGCCAUUUAAAGUGGUACGCGAGCUGGGUUUAGAACGUCGUGAGACAGUUCGGUCCCUAUCUGCCGUGGGCGCUGGAGAACUGAGGGGGGCUGCUCCUAGUACGAGAGGACCGGAGUGGACGCAUCACUGGUGUUCGGGUUGUCAUGCCAAUGGCACUGCCCGGUAGCUAAAUGCGGAAGAGAUAAGUGCUGAAAGCAUCUAAGCACGAAACUUGCCCCGA
rnacentral:rRNA from 1 species